rnacentral:lncRNA from 1 species
AAAACAUGCUUCUUCACAAGGGCAUUGAGUCUAAUAAUUUGACAACCUCUGGCAUUUCAGGUCUAUCUUUCUGUAACUCACCAGUACACAUGCAAGCAAUACGUACAUACUCCCUAACACUCUCCUCCUUCAACCCUUCUUCUCUUGGAAUAUUUCCAUCCAACAUCUCUAGUUCAGUGUUCCUUUCCUUCAUCUUCCUGGCCCAAUUAACAAGCCCAAUAUCAUUUCCUUCCAAUUUCACAGCCAAAUUGGGCCUAUGGCCCGACACGGUUUCAAUCAUCAACACUCCGAAACUAUACACAUCCACUUUCGGGUUUGCUACAUUAGACCCAUCUCGAUACUCAGGUGGCAUGUAACCUAUAGUACCCGCCACCUGCGUUGACACAUGCGAAUGUGAUUUAUCCAUCCUACGUGCGAGUCCGAAAUCAGCUAUAUGGGCCUCAAACUCAGAGUCCAACAAAACAUUACUGGCCUUGAUAUCUCGAUGAAUAAUGGGCUUUUCAAGCCCAUGUAAAUAACAAAGCCCAUGAGCAACACCACGUAUGAUUUUGACACGUGUUUCCCAUGGCAAAGGAGAACGAAUAAAAUCGAUUGAAAUAGAAACCUCAUCGUUUUGGUGAGUGGAAGAAGAGGUUGGAGAUGAUUCAUGAAGCCAUUGAUCGAGGUUUCCUUUUUCAAUGAACUCGUAAACGAGUAACCGUUCAGCUCCAGAAGCCCAAUAACCGAGGAUUUUCACGAUGUUGUGGUGGCGGAGUUUGCUUAGCGUUUCCAUCUCCGCUGCGAAUUCACGGAAGCCUUGAAAAGCGUCAGGGGAGAGUUUUUUGACGGCGACGGUAGCGCCGGUGGAGAGACUAGCUUUGUAAACAUAGCCGAAGCUACCAUCGCCGACGAUGAGGGUGUUGGAGAAAUUUUUUGUAGCGCGUGAGAGUUCUUCCAUGGAGAUUUUGAGAUUUGGAUCCCAUGACCAGCUGGCAUCGACGGGGAGGGAGGAGGAGCUGGUUGGGUAAUGAUUUGGGUUACGAAGUGGUCGGGUUCGGAUCUGGUUGUUACGGCGGGUUUGGGUGGUUUUGCGGUGUUGGCAGAUGAGGAUGAUGGCGGCGAGUAUGACUGUGACGACGAAAAAACUGGCGAUGGCGGCGAGGACGGCUAGGGCAGCGUGAUCCAUGCAAGGCAAGAGAGAAAGAGAGUAAAUUUAUUGAGAUUUGAGAGAGAAGGGGGGAAAAGAUGGAAUGAAUGGUGUAUGUAAGUUGAGUGGAAGGAAUAAAAGGGUUUCGUGGAAAGUGUUGUUUGUAAGAGAGUUGACUAGACCAGUCAAUGGUUUUUGUUUGCUUCUCUGGACUUAAUCAUUCAAACAAGUAUACUCUCUUUUCUUGUUUUUUUUUUUUUUUUUUUUUUUUUUUAACAUUUGGAAUGCUGAAUUGGAGC